GGUUCCGUGCCGCCAAGAUGGCGGCGGCCCCUGCGCCCGGCGGGCUGUGAGCGCCGCCAGCCCCGCUCCGCUCCCCGCCGACCGCUGCCCCCUGACCCGGCCCGGUUCCCGGUUCCUCGGCCCCCGGGCUGCCGAGCUCGCUCGUGCCCGGGCUCGAGGCGCCGCCGCCGCCAUGGCGCCGGUGCAGCUGGAGAGCAACCAGCUGGUGCCGGCCGGCGGGGGCCCCGCCUCAGCACCGGCCCCGCCGGCCCCCGGCGCCGUGACAGCCGCCGCCAGCCCCGGGUACCGGCUCAGCACCCUCAUCGACUUCCUCCUGCACCGCACGUACGCCGAGCUCACCGUGCUGGCAGACCUAUUACCAAGAAAGACUGAUAUGGAAAGAAAAAUAGAAAUAGUACAGUUUGCAAGCCGCACCCGUCAACUGUUUGUUCGUCUGUUAGCCUUAGUCAAAUGGGCUAAUAAUGCUGGAAAGGUGGAAAAAUGUGCGAUGAUAUCAAGUUUUUUAGAUCAGCAAGCCAUUCUGUUUGUGGACACUGCUGAUCGUCUGGCAUCUCUAGCUAGAGAUGCUUUGGUUCAUGCUCGUCUACCUAGUUUUGCUAUCCCAUAUGCAAUUGAUGUUCUGACAACUGGAUCAUACCCACGCCUGCCUACCUGCAUUAGGGAUAAAAUUAUCCCUCCUGACCCAAUUACAAAGAGUGAAAAGCAAACCACCCUUCAUCAGCUAAACCAGAUUCUUCGACAUCGACUAGUGACUACAGAUCUCCCUCCCCAGUUGGCAAAUCUUACAGUUGCCAAUGGCCGUGUGAAAUUCCGAGUUGAGGGGGAGUUUGAGGCCACCUUGACUGUGAUGGGUGAUGACCCUGACAUCCCCUGGCGCCUUCUCAAACUGGAAAUUUUGGUUGAAGACAAGGAAACUGGCGAUGGUCGAGCCUUGGUUCACAGUAUGCAGAUCAACUUCAUCCAUCAGUUGGUCCAGUCACGGCUGUUUGCUGAUGAAAAGCCACUUCAGGACAUGUACAGCUGUCUGCACUCCUUCUGCUUAGCGCUUCAGCUGGAAGUCUUGCAUUCACAAACACUAAUGCUGAUUCGAGAGCGCUGGGGUGACCUAGUGCAAGUGGAGCGAUACCAUGCAGGAAAGUGCCUCUCGCUCUCUGUUUGGAACCAACAGGUGCUUGGCAGGAAAACAGGGACUGCUUCUGUUCAUAAGGUCACUAUUAAGAUUGAUGAGACUGAUGUUUCAAAACCCUUGCAAAUAUCUCAUGAACCUCCACUGCCAGCCUGUGAUUCCAAACUGAUGGAAAGAGCCGUGAAGAUUGACCAUCUAUCAAUAGAAAAACUCCUGAUAGACAGUGUCCAUGCGAGAUCUCAUCAGAAACUCCAGGAGCUGAAAGCCAUUCUUAAGAGCUACAAUGUUAAUGACAAUUCAUUCAUUGAGACAGCUCUUCCAACUCUUGUAAUUCCAAUUUUGGAACCAUGUGGUCGAUCAGAGUGUCUGCAUGUUUUUGUUGAUCUUCAUUCUGGAAUGUUUCAACUGAUGCUCUAUGGUGCUGAUCAACUGACGCUGGAUGACAUAGAGAAGUCUGUUAAUGAUGAUAUGAAACGUAUCAUUCCUUGGCUCCAGCAGCUCAAGUUCUGGCUUGGACAGCAGCGUUGCAAACAGUCUAUAAAGCAUCUGCCUACAGUAAGCAGUGAAACUCUUCAGCUAGCUAAUUACGCUAGCCAUCCAGUGGGAAACCUUUCCAAACACAAAUUGUUUAUCAAACUCACUCGCCUUCCACAGUACUAUAUUGUUGUAGAGAUGUUUGACGUUUCUGGCAACCCCACAGAACUAGAGUACAAAUACCAUUUUCUCUCUGUGAGCUAUGCUGAAGGAGAUGACAGCCCUGCUACUGCACUUCUUUUACAGCAGUUCAAACCAAACAUUGAAGAGUUGGUACUAGACACAAAAAGUGGGAAACAAAUGAAAAGUGGUGUCAAGCGCAAGUUAUCUGGUGAUACAUGUUCCAUAGAACCUAAGAAACCAAAACGGUCGGGAGAAAUGUGUGCCUUCAAUAAAGUCCUAGCUCAUAUAGUAGCCAUGUGUGAUACAAAUAUGCCAUUUAUAGGGCUUCGUAUGGAGUUAUCUAAUAUGGACAUUCCUCACCAAGGAGUACAAGUAGAAGGAGAUGGCUUCAGCCAUGCCAUACGUUUAUUAAAAAUUCCUCCCUGUAAAGGUGUAAAUGAGGAAACGCAGAAGGCUCUGGACCGAUCUCUUCUUGAUUGCACUUUCCGAUUACAAGGUAGAAAUAAUCGCACGUGGGUGGCUGAGCUGGUGUUUGCAAAUUGUCCACUUAAUAGCACUUCAUCCAGGGAGCAAGGACCAACCCGUCAUGUUUACCUGACAUACGAAAACCAGUUAUCUGAACCAGUUGGAGGUCGCAAAGUUGUUGAGAUGUUCCUCAAUGACUGGAACAGUAUUGCUCGGCUGUAUGAAUGUGUCCUGGAGUUUGCACGAUCCUUACCAGACAUACCUAACCACUUAAACGUUUUCUCAGAAGUUCGUAUCUACAAUUACCGAAAACUUAUCCUUUGUUAUGGAACCACCAAGGGGAGCUCAAUCAGCAUUCAGUGGAACUCCAUACUCCAGAAGUUCCACAUUUCACUGGGAACUGUUGGCCCAAACUCAGGUUGCAGCAACUGUCACAACACGAUUCUGCACCAGCUCCAGGAGAUGUUCAAUAAAACACCAAAUGUGGUGCUGUUGUUACAGGUACUGUUUGACACUCAGGCUCCGUUAAAUGCCAUCAACAAACUUCCAACUGUGCCCAUGCUGGGUCUGACUCAACGCACCAACACUGCCUAUCAGUGUUUCUCAAUUUUGCCACAGUCACCCACGCAUAUCAGGCUGGCUUUUAGGAAUAUGUACUGCAUUGACAUCUACUGCCGGAGUCGUGGUGUGGUAGCGAUACGUGAUGGAGCAUACAGUCUUUUUGACAACAGCAAAAUAGUUGAAGGAUUUUACCCUGCACCUGGAUUAAAGACAUUCCUCAACAUGUUUGUUGACAGCAAUCAGGAUGCACGAAGACGAUCUGUAAAUGAAGACGAUAACCCACCUUCUCCUAUCGGAGGUGACAUGAUGGAUUCUUUGAUAUCACAGCUUCAACCCCAGCAACCACCACAGCAACCACAACAACAGCCAUUUGCAAAACAGGCAGGAGCAUCAGGAGCAUAUCCUCUUACUUCACCACCCACCUCCUAUCACAACACAGUGACACCUUCUCCAUCUAUGAUGCACACGCAGUCACCAGGAAACUUGCAUGCUGCGAGCUCACCUAGUGGAGCUUUAAGAGCACCAUCACCAGCAUCCUUUGGUCCAACACCUUCACCUUCCUCCCUUGGAAUCACAAUGGGACAAACAGCUAACUUUGCCAGCCCACAUGGUACCAUAGACCCAAGCUCACCUUACACCAUGAUGUCACCCAGUCAGCGUGCAGGGAACUGGCCAGGAUCUCCCCAGGUCUCUGGUCCAUCACCAGCAGCACGGAUGCCUGGAAUGUCACCAGCCAACCCUUCCCUUCAUUCACCUGUCCCAGAUGCCUCUCAUUCCCCACGAGCUGGAACAAGUUCCCAAGCAAUGCCAACGAGCAUGCCUCCACCUCGUAAACUACCUCAGCGCUCUUGGGCUGCAUCCAUACCUACAAUCCUCACCCACAGUGCCUUGAAUAUUCUGCUGUUGCCCUCUCCUACUCCUGGACUCGUGCCAGGACUAGCUGGCAGCUAUCUUUGUUCCCCUCUUGAGCGAUUCCUUGGAUCAGUUAUUAUGAGGAGACAUCUUCAGAGGAUCAUACAACAGGAAACGCUACAGUUAAUAAACUCCAACGAACCAGGUGUGAUUAUGUUUAAGACAGAGGCACUGAAGUGCAGGGUUGCUCUCAAUCCCAAAACCAACCAGACCUUGCAACUAAAAGUAACACCUGAAAAUACAGGACAGUGGAAAUCGGAGGAGUUACAAGUUUUGGAGAAGUUCUUUGAAACAAGAGUUGCAGGACCACCUUUUAAAGCAAACACCCUAAUAGCCUUCACAAAAUUACUAGGGGCUCCAACGCAUAUCCUCAGGGACUGCGUUCACAUCAUGAAACUUGAGCUGUUCCCUGAUCAGGCAAGUCAGCUGAAAUGGAACGUGCAGUUUUGUUUAACAAUUCCUCCCAGUGCACCGCCAAUUGCGCCUCCAGGAACACCCGCUGUUGUGCUGAAAUCCAAAAUGUUGUUUUUUCUCCAGCUAACACAGAAAACGACAGUCCCACAGGAAGCUGUUAGUAUUAUUGUCCCAAUUAUUUAUGAUAUGGCUUCGGGUACAACUCAACAGGCUGACAUUCCCAGGCAACAGAACUCUUCUGUUGCUGCUCCAAUGAUGGUUAGCAAUAUUCUAAAGAGGUUUGCUGAACUGAAUUCACCACGACCAGGUACUGUACAUGUCCAGUAGAUAUAUUCUCUCCACCCAGACAUCUGUGACAAAUCUCCAGUGUAAAACUAAAUCUCUCUUAAGUCUGAAUUCUUCUUGGUUCCUAUUAUACUUCUUUAGUGAUCACAAACUCCUGAUAUGACAGGCAAUACGUAACAUAAUAGCAAGUACUGGCAGUGCAGCAGUUUUACCCCAGAAGGUUACACUGGUGAUUCAGGCUGAAUAUCACUGUCAGAGUAUUACUCCCAAGUAAUAGGAUGCACCUCUCGUUGGCCCAGCUCUUGCUGCACAGUAGGAGUUAAAGUUUUUACCAAUGGGCCCAGAAUGAAUCACAAUAAAUAUGCUAUGGUCAAGUGUCAGUUUUCAUGGUUAACUAUGAAGUUAUUAAGCUUAACAGUAGAAUAUAAAGGGAUGUUAAAAUAGUUAUCAAAACUUGUCCAUGUGCUGUGAAUGAUUAAAAAGUAAUUGGUGUGAUUGUAUGCUCCUUUGUCAGUGUGUACACUAGCAGAGGCGCAUACAGUUCUAUCCGCCAAACGUGCUGUGAAGUGUUUGAGCUAAAUAGAUUGUUCUGAAUGUUCAUUGGCCUGUAGGUAGUGCACUGUGAGCAGCAUCGUACUUUGCUUUCCCUCUUGUUUGUCAUGCUUUUUAUUUUUUUUCAAUAUCUGACAACACUGAACAGCAGUAGCAGGUUCUUUGGGCAGAAUGUUGUCUGUAAGCAGUGGUUUGGGGACCUAAUACCCAAGUGGUUCAAAAGAACAAGAUCUUUCAGUUCUGCUGUAGUUGCACACUGAAGAUUGAAACGUUUUUCCAGUAACCCAGUGAAUAGUUUGAAAUUGUGAAUCCAGAGGUUGAAUUCUCCUUCUGUAUAAUUAUUCAUCGCGUUAUGUGGUAAUUUUAACAAUGCCUGAUGGUUUAUUUCGAUUGCUAGAACAUGAGUAAUGUUUAUCUUAAAUUGGUAUGGAUAUGUAUACAUUUUUGGAGAACUGUGAUGAGAUUUAAAUUAAUGUUUUCUGUUUAACGUGUAGUAAUAGUGUAGGUAAAUAAGAGAGAAUAGCUUUGAGUUCCCAGUAAGAGUUCUGUAUAGGAUAGAACUGUUGGUUGAAUAGCACUUUUAUUUCAAAACACUUUGACUAAACUUCAAGUGUUUCUUUUGGAAGGUGCUUCCCCACUAAGUUCCCCUAAUGGGGAAGGAUAGAUGCUUGUUUUGCUGUGUAUUAUUGCACUAAAUUGUGUUUUAAGGUAAACCCUUCACAAAAUGCUACAGCAUAGGAAGUAAUUGGCAAAGCUGCUCUUGAGCAUCCCAGGUGAGAUGUCUUCUGGUGAUCAUUAGGUAGAUUAGGAUAGACAACUUUUGUUUGUCACACGAGUCUGGAAAUAAUGCAGGACUUGCAGUACAGGGAGCAGAGUACAGACAGGGAAAAAAAUGCAUGUAAAAAGAGCUUCUGGCCUCAAGAAGGACCUUACCCCCAGGCAAAAAAGAGUACAGCCAGCUGAGCAGAGGAUGUUUCUAGUAGGCGUUCCUCUAAUUUCUGAGAGAAAGGUUGAGUCUCUGUUGAUUUCUCCCACCAAAAGUAGGAUCUUUCCUGAGGACACUUAACGUGCAAUUUCCUGUGUUCUUAUUAUCAAAAUUUACAUUAUUUUAUCUGACAAAAGAGAAAAGAUACCUUCUUUUCUUUGGCAUUGAAGGUGAUGGGAGAGCCAGCAGAUGAAAGUAGAUAGCUGGAAGACUUCUUUAACAACAGCAGUACAUGGGAGAUCCAAAAUGCAUAUCCUUUCUCUUAUGAUGCUUUUGUGCUGUGCUCAGGAUUUUCCUACCUGUGUUAGCUCUUCUGCUGCAUUAAUUGCAAUCUGCAUGGUUAAGUGAAUUUUUAACUCUUUCAGUCAGAAAGGAGCAGGGCUUCCCACCAUGCACGUAUGAUAUUAUUGGCACUUCCAUUGUAACCCGUAAUCAGUGUUGCCUCAUUUUGGCUGUAUCUUUUUUACCUUUCUCUCUUUGUGAGAAAGUAUUUUGUAUUCAGCUUAAUAUUCCUCUUAAUAAAAUGGUAGUAACUGAAAAGUGAGUUCUUUUGGAAGAGUUUUAUUUUCAGAUCUGUGGACAAGCACGUUAUGCUGUGUUUAACAGUAAAACGCUGGCUCGUUGCGAGUACGCUGUCUUUCUGAGAUCACUUUACCAAUGCCUCCAUGGAGAAAAAAUGUUUGAUUUUGGGGAAAUAGUUUUAUGUGAACUGAGAUGGAAUCGAUGUCCUGGAAUAACAGGGUUUAACUUGAGCUCUAAGCCUACAACCUGCGUCAUGUAGUGGACUGAUGUCUGGUAAGGAAAGUCCCUACUGAUGCAGGAGGUGACCUGUAGAGAGGAGCUCAAGGGACUUGUGUGAUAUUUCUUAAAACACUUCACCACUAAGCAUUGCCUAAUGUCUGGUUUUCAGUGAUGCAGUGGAUGGUAUUUUAGCCCUGAUUUGUAGCUUUGAUAUGAUAAUGACUUGCCCAAAAUAAUCCUGGGAGUCACUAGUUUGGCAGUUAGGAUUAAUACAUCCCCACGUGCUCUGCUCUCAUCUCUUUGCUCACAUGGCUCUUUCUUCAGCAACAAAAUGCAGUCUCUUCUGCUUGAUGCUUCUUGAAAUAUGCUGGAACAAUUCAGCCUGCGGUGACAGGGUGAAUGCACAAUAUUUGCAGCCGUUCGGGAUUUGAUGGUUAAUCUUACGCUGCCCCCUGGUGGGCGUCCAUAGACACUUUUAAAAGAAGGCUGAAAAUGAGACAAAACAGCAAAAAAAAAAAUCUCUCUGAAAUUAAGCCUUCAAUUAAAAGAGGACGUUCUAAUUUUACUUUUUUUAAGAGCUAACUAAUAAACUGGCAAACUUUCA